rnacentral:tRNA from 1 species
GCGCUCCGCCCCCGCCCCCCGGUCCGCCUUCGCCGAUAACACGGGCGACGACGAUGCUUC